AAAUGCAGCUGGGAUCCCCCGUUGCUGUGGCUUUGGCCCUCCAUAUGCUGCGAGGUGUGGCUCUAGAAAAGAAAAAAAAAAAAAAAAAAGCAGAUGGAUGACUUACAGGGAAAAAUCAUGGUAUUGGAAGCAACAGUUCAGAAUAAUCAUGAUGAAAGAAGGGCACUACCAGAAAGGUGACUGAUGUCUAAUAAAAAUAAUUUAUUUCCAUUCUAAGUGAUAAAGACUUACAUAUUGCACAUUGAAAAAAACUGAAGUCUUGAGAAUAGUGCUCCAACAGGUGUCUUAAAGGAGAAGGUAAAAUAGAAAAGCUUCAAACCAAAGUACUAGAGUUGCAAAGAAAGCUGGAUAAUAAAACUGCAGCAGUGCAGGAGCUGGGCAAAGAGAAUCAGUCCCUUCAGGUGGAGUGGGGAACACACACCUCGUUCCUGUCUUCAAGCAACCUAGGAUCUAUUCUGCAGACAAAACAUGGAUCCAUCCAAAAGAUGGAUAUAUACCACAUCUUUCUUGGCUCAUCCUUCUGUAGAUGCUUGGGUUGUUUUCUUGUCCUGGUGAUUGUAACUCUGUUGUGAUGAAAUAGAGGUGCGUAUGAUCGUCAAGCGAGUGUUUUCGAUAAAUUGCCAGAAGUGGAAUUGCUGGGUCACACUGUAGUUCUGAUUUUAAUUUUUUGAGCAAUCUCAUGCUGUUUUCCACUGUGGCUGCACCAGUAAUGUUCCUUUUUCUCCACAUGCUCUCCAACAUUUAUUGCUUGUGUGUGUGUGUGUUUAUAAUAACCAUUCUCUAAGGGAUGAGGUUGAAACAUUAUUGUGGUUUUGGUUUGUAGUUCCAUUAGUGUGGUUGAACCUCUUGUCAUAAGCCUGUUGGCCAUUUUCUGUUUUCUUUGGAAAAUGUCUAUUCAGAUCCUCUGCCCCAGUUUUUUGUUUGUUUGUUUUUUGUUUGUUUUGUGCCACACCCAAGGCACACAGAAGUUCCCAGGUAAGGGACGGAACCAGCAGCGCCCCAUGGCACCGUAGUAACAAUAGCAGAUUUUUUGUAUUUUUGCCACGUUCUUGGGCCGCUCUUGGGGCAUAUGGAAGUUCCCAGGCUAGGGGUUGAA